AUGAAAUGCAUACGAGAUAUGCAGAAAGAGAUACGUCUAAUUCCUGAGAAAUGUGCUAAGAUAUUGCUCGAGAAGCUAAGUAAGAAGGGUUUGCUGGUGAAGCGAAGUGGGGACUUCCGUGAUGAGCGCGCUUAUGAGGACGAAAGUGAUGAGUGGGUGACAAAGUACAAGCCAAAGUAUCAUACGGAAGUUACUUCAUCUCCUUUGGAAGAACGCGCGGAGGAGAAGAUGGAUGCAUCCUUCACGGGUCCAAAUGGUACGAACUUUCCCAAUGACAAAGGCAUGCAGUCCAGUACACCCGAUAAAGGUGAUGAAAACGACCCCUUUAUUAUUGAGGACAAUGGUUCACCAGGGAAGCAUCACCAUCAUUAG
rnacentral:rRNA from 1 species